rnacentral:lncRNA from 1 species
AGACCUGGGCAGCGGGAAACGCGUACUUGAGAGCGCAUGGCUUCAAGCUUCUCCCUUGCGCUCAUGAUCUUAGGCUGGUCGCUUUUUCUUUUAGGCGGAACACAGUUCACACUGGGCGCCUCCAACUCUCUGGAAUUCUAGGCAACAGAUUAACACUUUGUGAAUCUCGAAGAGCUGCACUCCUGCUAAAUAUUGGAGUUAAUGCUGAUCCUUUGGAAGUCUCUGAAGGUUGCAAGAUUGUGCUGGGAGCCUCUGGCUUCAUUUGCCCUUCUCACACCUUAUUUUAAUACAAGGUCGAGCACACUGAACUACCUGGAGUAAAGGGGCAUCAUGUCUGAAACUGAUGCUUAAGUGGCUCAGAAAAAAAAUUCUGGGAGCUAGAGGGAGAGAGAGACAGAGGAGUGUGGUAAAAAGUUAUCAUUUGGGGGGUCUGCGUAAAAGGUAUAUGAGGAUUCUUUGUACGGAUUUUGCAACUUUUCUCCCAGUCUGAAAUUAUGUCAAAAUAUAAAAUUAAAAGGCAAAAUUAAAAGAAUGAGUGAGAGUUUACUAGGUAGAGAAGCAGAAGGAUCUUCUGGUAAAGGAACAGGAUAAGCAAAAGCAUCACAAGUGUGCGAGUCUUCUGUGUUGACAAACAAGCCCUGACUCUGAAUAUCCAGGACUAGCAUGGUGUGGGGAGACGGGGAUUAGAGGGAUAACGAGCAGCAUAACCCACAAAUGGACACAUUUCCCUGCUACCUAAGAUUAGAAGUAAAGACUUUAGGCCUACAUUAUACCCAGCCUCAAGAGUUGCAAGACAUAACAUGAGUUCUCAUGGCGGCUCAGUCUUUGCAUUGGCAGUGUCUCUUCAUCCAGUGACUGUGUGGAACAAUGGAAACCCGAGAAUCAUGGCUGAAAGGGACAUCUAGUCCAACUCUCUCAUUUUGCAGAAGGGACAACUAAGAUGCAAAAUGAAGAAGAGAUUUGCAAGGUCCCAGCAAAGUUCUUCAAAUUGCAAGAUGAUGGAGAGAGCACACAAUUUUCAACCAGGCUAUGAAAUCGUUCUUGAAAAUGUGGACAUUCAUAGAGAUGGCUUUUAAUUUUUCUUGGAGACUGCCUUUCCUUAUGAAAUAAUGAAAUUUAAAAAUAUGUAUUAUAAAUUAAACUAUAUACUUACUAUUCUCAUUAUAAUAAAAUCCUAGGGAUAAGGAACUAGUAUUGCAAGGGCACCAUUCCCGUUUUUUAUUAUUAUUCCUAGCUGGAAUUUUAUUCCUCAAGGCUUAGCUCUAAGUGACUAUAUAAUGAAUACUGACUGGCAAAACUAUUGGGAUUCUAAUUUAAGAAUCAUCAGAUUCUGCACAAGAAAUCUUGAAGCAUGUCAUCAGUAACAUGUGGAGAAGCUGUCUAAAAAGGCAUGCCUUUCUUUUAAAUGUCCAUGAGCCCUGGAUCCACAGAUUAUGAGACAUGAAGGAUCACGCAUGCUCAAACAGGGCUUAUUUAGGUGUCAUCUAUAGAGGGGCUGCUCUCUUCAGCUGCCCGUCCCGGACCCGGGAAUUAUGUCUACAGUUUUCAGUUUCCACAUGUCUUUGCGGCAAUGCUACCAUGAAUUAUUUUACUUGGGACUUUAGAUUAACCACAAAAGAAACUAAUUGAAAAUAACUAAGAUCAUUCUGUCAUGUGAGCCACAGUUUACUACAGUCAACUUAAGCACAAUUAUAUAUGAUAAACUAUAGACGUGAUGCUUUGUGUUUCAACCAUUAUUAUCCAUUGUUUCUUACUCAACUGGUGAAACCAUUAGCAAUAUGGGGCUUUAAAAGGACUGUCUCUGUGAUAUCCUCUUCCUCUGCCUCCCUUCGGGAUCUGAUAUUCUUCUGUGGUUGACUGACGAGUCUGCAUAUGGGUGUUGUAUUUCUUUUAUCAGACCUAUUAAUUGCAGAAGGUUCUGUCUCCCUAUCCCCAAUACCUCAAACUUCCUGUUUCCUGUACAGUCUUCAAAAACUCUAUCUGCAUGGCUCUAGCAAUCCCUGUUCUUACUUGCUAUGGACAGAUCUGUUAAAAUCCUGGAACUGCCAUACAGUUUCUUCAGAAUGUUUGAUGUCUCCCUCCAGAGAAUGGCUUUUUUCUCAUUGUGCUAUGCUGUUGCUCUCAGAACUUACCCCCUGGAACUUUCUCUUUUCUGUGCCUAUGCUCAGCUGUGGGGGAAUAAUAAGAGAGGUUUUAUUCCUAUUUAUUAUCAUGUAUGAUAGGAAUAAUAAGAAGGAAU